GUAUUUGGAAAUCUCGUAUCAUAUGUGAUUGUACUGUUAUUUGAGAACACGUUAGUUUUCUUCUUUGCAGUUUUACGGUACAUAAAAUAUCAGGCAUAAAAAUAGAUAUUACCCUUUGACUUUAUUCACGGUAGGUUUACAUACCACAUCGCUUGAAAAGACCGCAUAAACAGACUCGAAAAGCUGAAAAGUAACAAAGACAUACGUUCGUAUUAAUUCGUUAUUAAUUUAUUAAAAAAAUACUAACUUGAAAUUUGGUCGAUUUAAUAGUGUCAAGAACAAGAUGAUUACCUAAUUUUUAUUUUGAUUAAAAAAAAUUAAGGAAAGUAAUAACGUUUACUAAUUUAUGAACUAAAAAUUAUGAUUUGCAAAAUACCCUAACUUUUUGUGAACCAAGUGACAUAUUUUCAAGAAAAUUGGUUAGUGAAUUUUAAUUUUCUCAAAAAUAUACAAACUUCAUUAAAACAAUAAUUUCAAAUAAUAUUAUGUUCCAAAUUUCCGCCAUCGGAUCAUGAUCUUUUGAUUGACUUCGCGGUCAACUAUUAGUGUACAGUACAGUUGCGUGACCAGCGCUACAAUUGCACUGACACUAGCAGUCUCUCGAACCCGGAUUCGAACAUACGACGACUUACAACCAGUGUCGUACCUCGAGACUAAUUGGGAAGCAUUUGUAUACUGAAAAAGUCAUGUAGUAAUUUUUUUGUCUAAUAAAUAAAAAUAGAAACAAAACCGAUUCAAACAUCGUUCAAAAUGAUCAACGUUAUGAUCGCAGAGAUGCUUACUGUUCUAAAGACCCAAACACAAUGGAUACGUAGCGGCUGCGUUUGCGGCAAUUUGACAGUUAGCCCAUACAGUUUCUGUCAAAACAACGUCAACGCAACGCAAACGUAUCCAUUGUGUUUGGGCCUUAAUUCGAGACUACAAAGCUGCUGAUAUUUGUUUGGUUUUUUGCAUAAGAGAGUAAAGGAAAGAAUUUUUUUUCCUUUUGUCAUCACGCAUAUUCUGACAAUCUAUAUCUUGCGAAUUUCAAAUAUUUUAUUCAAUCUUGCGAAUUUUAAAUGUUUUAUGCCGAUGGCUGACAUGGUAAUCAAUGCUAAGCGUACAGACGUAAUUCUUGAAAAAAUUAAUAGCAUACCCUUAGACAGCUUUCUUACUGUAAGGUUGUAAUUACAUCAUUUUGUGUCAAUUAACCUUUAUUUAGCUAUGAAGACUCUUCUGAGUUAACCAUAAAAACUGCAAACAGCGUACCUGCGUGAAUUUUUGGUGAUUGUUGUAAAGUUGAUAAGUGACACGUCCGCUUCUCUGUGUCAGAAUAGUCAAUAAACAGAGACAGCAGUCAACAAACAAUAACGCAUGCAGCCUUCAUUCUUCCGUACGCCUAACAGUGAAAUCUGGUUUUUAUUUGAUCAAAGAUUUACGUAUGUCUUAGCUCGGAAAUCCUAACUACUUCGUUAAACGUAUCAAACUUUAACGGCGGGUAAAUAUUUGAGUAGAAUAUUUGAAGCAUGUAGGUACCACACGCACAACCCAUUCUGUGCGAGUUAACAAAUUAAUUUGCGUUACAUUUUCCCAUUUAAAUGGUUGAUGCUGCAAGUACCUAUACGAGAUUAUAAUAAAAGAAAUAACGUUACAAUUAUCGAUCCGCUUGAUUCAAUUUUUGAAAAUCAAUAAUAUGUAAAAAUAUUUAUUAUUUGCAGAGAUUGAUGUCAGGAAACUAUUCCUAUAGAAAAAUAUUGCUUAUCUAAAAAUAAUUCGUUGUCUAACGAACAUAUCCACGAGGUUACUUUCACUAGCGCAGGCAAACAGGUGCCACGUGGGUUUCUCUGGGGAUCUAAUCAAUACUUGAGUUGCUAAGAUAACAAAGUAAUCUGUCUGAGUGCAAGGGAACGUUGUUUGCAUUCAAACCUGCUGAUACAUAGAUAAAGACGUCACCUUUUCGAGCGAAAUAGCACUUCGCUGCUCAAGACGAUUCAGUAUCAAAUUCGAUACCUACCGCAGAUGUUCUAUGAAAGUUCGCGGUUUUGCAUUUAUUCAACUACCGCACGCGACACGCACGUUAAUUGAGUGAAUUCCAAAAACAAUUGUUUUUUAUAACAGGCGUAGAGUUCCCACCGUUAUGUCGAGGUCUACCCUCGAGAAUAACACGGUGUGAAUAGAAUGUUUAUAUUUACUCAGUGAAACGAACCUUCGGUUGACCGAGUUAGUUGAAUUAGCAUCAUUUUAUCGGACAACAUAACUGUGAGGAAAUGGAUUCGAACAUCGAGCAGAACCCCUUCACCGAAGCACUGCAGUCGGAAGCGAUCUCCGAGCUGCUCCAGAACAAGGACAAGCGGGAAUUAGCCAAUAGCUUAGUUGCUAACUUGAAGAAACUAUCGGCAAUGUUCGUUACCCUUUCCGACGAUGAAAAACAUCAGUUUGUUCGGGAAUUUAAGGGCCAGUUUGUGAAUCAAUUGAAAAGUCUAAAUGAAAUGGUCAAGCAAGAAAAGGUGGCUGAGGAAAACUUAAAUGCACAGCAAUCGAUACCACACUUUGGGGCACCCGCAGUGUUUCAGGAAGAGAUCAAUUUCUAUCUGGUGAUAGCCUUCGGCUCGUUAAUCCUAUUGUUUGUUGUAUUCUUCGGUUACAAACUGUACCUUUCCUUAACGGAAAAGGAGCGCAAACGGGAGGAAAAACUAAAGGCUAAACAAGCCAAAAAGAAGAAAUGAGCGCUAGUUCAGCGUGGCAGCUGUAGCGGAUGCACCGGAAGUAAAACAGCCCGCCACAACCAUCUGCACAAAAACAUUCCACACGUAAAAGACUCGUAGACUACGCUCGGUUGGUAUCCUCCGUGCUACACCCCACUAAAUGCAAUUAAUUGCAAUACAAAAUAAUAUGUUAUAAUCUAUUGGAGCACAGAAAAAGUCUACCUAGCAGAUGCAAAUUUAUUAUGUAACAAACGUCACAUAGUUUAAAUUCGUUAUUUUGAAACUUGUUGAAUACAUUUUCCAGUACCCAUUCGAAAAAGUCUGGCAAAGGUACUACGAGAAAAAUUCAGGACAAAUACAAUAUUUUACUUAUACAUGUUAAAGAGCCGAAUCAAAGUUUGCAACACUUCUUGAAGUAGCUGAUAUUAGUUGUGAAUGGAAAUAUUUUUCUGUCGGUAAAUGGUAUACAUAUAUAUGACGGUUUAUUAAACUCUUGAAAGUGAAAAAAGAAUAA